GACGAACGCUGGCGGCGUGCUUAACACAUGCAAGUCGAACGGAAAGGCCCUGCUUUUGUGGGGUGCUCGAGUGGCGAACGGGUGAGUAACACGUGAGUAACCUGCCCUUGACUUUGGGAUAACUUCAGGAAACUGGGGCUAAUACCGGAUAGGAGCUCCUGCUGCAUGGUGGGGGUUGGAAAGUUUCGGCGGUUGGGGAUGGACUCGCGGCUUAUCAGCUUGUUGGUGGGGUAGUGGCUUACCAAGGCUUUGACGGGUAGCCGGCCUGAGAGGGUGACCGGCCACAUUGGGACUGAGAUACGGCCCAGACUCCUACGGGAGGCAGCAGUGGGGAAUAUUGCACAAUGGGCGGAAGCCUGAUGCAGCAACGCCGCGUGCGGGAUGACGGCCUUCGGGUUGUAAACCGCUUUCGCCUGUGACGAAGCGUGAGUGACGGUAAUGGGUAAAGAAGCACCGGCUAACUACGUGCCAGCAGCCGCGGUGAUACGUAGGGUGCGAGCGUUGUCCGGAUUUAUUGGGCGUAAAGGGCUCGUAGGUGGUUGAUCGCGUCGGAAGUGUAAUCUUGGGGCUUAACCCUGAGCGUGCUUUCGAUACGGGUUGACUUGAGGAAGGUAGGGGAGAAUGGAAUUCCUGGUGGAGCGGUGGAAUGCGCAGAUAUCAGGAGGAACACCAGUGGCGAAGGCGGUUCUCUGGGCCUUUCCUGACGCUGAGGAGCGAAAGCGUGGGGAGCGAACAGGCUUAGAUACCCUGGUAGUCCACGCUGUAAACGGUGGGUACUAGGUGUGGGGUCCAUUCCACGGGUUCCGUGCCGUAGCUAACGCUUUAAGUACCCCGCCUGGGGAGUACGGCCGCAAGGCUAAAACUCAAAGGAAUUGACGGGGCCCCGCACAAGCGGCGGAGCAUGCGGAUUAAUUCGAUGCAACGCGUAGAACCUUACCUGGGUUUGACAUGGAUCGGGAGUGCCCAGAGAUGGGUGUGCCUCUUUUGGGGUCGGUUCACAGGUGGUGCAUGCCUGUCGUCAGCUCGUGUCGUGAGAUGUUGGGUUAAGUCCCGCAACGAGCGCAACCCUUGUUCACUGUUGCCAGCACGUUAUGGUGGGGACUCAGUGGAGACCGCCGGGGUCAACUCGGAGGAAGGUGGGGAUGACGUCAAGUCCUCAUGCCCCUUAUGUCCAGGGCUUCACGCAUGCUACAAUGGCUGGUACAGAGAGUGGCGAGCCUGUGAGGGUGAGCGAAUCUCGGAAAGCCGGUCUCAGUUCGGAUUGGGGUCUGCAACUCGACCUCAUGAAGUCGGAGUCGCUAGUAAUCGCAGAUCAGCAACGCUGCGGUGAAUACGUUCCCGGGGCU
rnacentral:rRNA from 1 species